UUUUCCCUGGAUGAAAUCUGAAAAUUGUGAGCUCCACUGAACUUGCAUAGGCUUCCAUUCAUGGUUCGAAUUUUGAAGUAGUCUUGACUCUAGGAGUGAAAUUGAGAUUCAAGGGCUCAAGGGACUGAACAAGUUUCUCAAACAAGGAUGCAGUAGAAGUCCUUCUCCAACCUGAAUGUUUCCUUGGAACAGAAGACACUAAAAGAUUCCAAGAAGGGAUCCCCCUCCAAGGCAGCCAGACCCCCUGCCUGUUCAUUGAAUUUACUCUUCAAAAGAAAGAGCUAAUAAAUAAAUCAUGGAUAAGGUACAUUACAAUUAUUUCGUUUUGUGAUUUAACAACAUGCAAUUAGUUCAUGCAGAAGAUACGAAAGCAAACUGUGUCACUUACAAACGUUGGUUCAAAAAUGAGAGGAAAAUUGACUAGCUUUAUAGCAAAGGGUUUGGGGAACAAUCCUUUGCAAUCACUGAAUGGAGAAAUAAAAUCCAGAGUUCCCAUUUA